ACCUGCCCACUGAUUAAGUUUAAAUGGCCGCAGUAUUUUGACUGUGCAAAGGUAGCAUAAUCAUUAGUUUUUUAAUUGAAAGCUUGUAUGAAUGGUUGGACGAGAUAAAAACUGUCUUUAUUUUAUAUUUAGAAUUUAAUUUUUAAGUUAAAAAGCUUAAAUUUUUUUAAAAGACGAGAAGACCCUAUAGAUCUUUAUAAAUUUUAUUAAUAGUUUUAUUUAAGAAUUUUUUAUAAAUUAAUUAGAAAUUUUAUUUUAUUGGGGUAAUAGGGAGAUUAAAUAAAUUCUUUUUUAUAUAUAAUAAUUAUAAUUAUUUUAAUGAUCCAAUAAUAUUGAUUAUAAGAUUAAGUUACCUUAGGGAUAACAGCGUAAUUUUUUUUGAGAGUUCAUAUCGAUAAGAAAGUUUGCGACCUCGAUGUUGGAUUAAAAGUAAUCUUAGGAGCAGAAAUUUAAGAUUUUGGUCUGUUCGACCAUUAAAUUUUU
rnacentral:rRNA from 2 species